AUUGAACGCUGGCGGAAUGCUUUACACAUGCAAGUCGAACGGCAGCACGGACUUCGGUCUGGUGGCGAGUGGCGAACGGGUGAGUAAUAUAUCGGAACGUGCCCAGUCGUGGGGGAUAACGUAGCGAGAGCUACGCUAAUACCGCAUACGAUCUACGGAUGAAAGCGGGGGAUCGCAAGACCUCGCGCGAUUGGAGCGGCCGAUAUCAGAUUAGGUAGUUGGUGAGGUAAAGGCUCACCAAGCCGACGAUCUGUAGCUGGUCUGAGAGGACGACCAGCCACACUGGGACUGAGACACGGCCCAUGCUCCGACGGGAGGCAGCAGUGGGGAAUUUUGGACAAUGGACGCAGGUCUGAUCCAGCCAUUCCGCGUGCAGGACGAAGGCCUUCGGGUUGUAAACUGCUUUUGUACAGAACGAAAAGGUCUCUAUUAAUACUAGGGGCUCAUGACGGUACUGUAAGAAUAAGCACCGGCUAACUACGUGCCAGCCGCCGCCGUAA
rnacentral:rRNA from 1 species